AUGCUCUUGCGACCACUCCAGGCACGAUUGGCACCCUUCUGCAGAAGUAAAUUGCCUUGCUGAGAAAGCUUUUUGCCGGAGUGCUGAUUCUUCUUUGCGGCACCAAGCAUUUGUUUCUAACAUCAACUAUCUACUUUCAUUUUUCAGGUUAAGAAAUCUCCAAAACAGUUGGCUGCUUACAUAAAUAGAACAGUUGGACAAACUGUGAAAAGCCCAGAUAAACUUCGUAAAGUGAUCUAUCGCAGAAAGAAAGUUCAUCAUCCCUUUCCAAAUCCUUGUUACAGAAAAAAACAGUCCCCUGGAAGUGGGGGCUGUGACAUGGCAAAUAAAGAAAAUGAACUGGCUUGUGCAGGCCACCUGCCUGAAAAAUUACACCAUGAUAGUCGAACAUAUUUGGUUAACUCCAGUGAUUCUGGUUCUUCACAGACAGAAAGCCCAUCAUCAAAAUAUAGUGGGUUUUUUUCUGAGGUUUCUCAGGACCAUGAAACAAUGGCCCAAGUUUUGUUCAGCAGGAAUAUGAGAUUGAAUGUAGCUUUAACUUUCUGGAGAAAGAGAAGUAUAAGUGAACUUGUAGCUUAUUUGUUGAGGAUAGAAGAUCUUGGCGUUGUGGUAGAUUGCCUUCCUGUGCUCACCAAUUGUUUACAGGAAGAAAAACAAUAUAUCUCACUUGGCUGCUGUGUUGACUUGUUGCCUCUAGUAAAGUCACUACUUAAAAGCAAAUUUGA
rnacentral:lncRNA from 10 species